rnacentral:lncRNA from 1 species
UCAUCUUAUUUGAUUUAUGUCAACUCUCACCCCUCUUCCUCACCACCCCUUCUCCGAUGAAUUCCCAUCGGGGUAGAUCCUCGUUUUCCUCUUCUUCUUCCACAUAGCCCAAAAUCAAAGGCCGGGAACCUCAUUCUCCGGUGAAAUCCCACAGGGACAGAUCCGCCUUUUCUUAUUCCUCGUCGCAUUCUCUAGAGAUCUUUACCCAUGUUCCUCGCUGCCUCUUUCUCGGGUGAAAUUUCAUGAGGACAAAUCCCCCCUUCCUCAUCCUUGUCGCUAUUUUUUUGGUGAAAUCUUACGGGGCAGAUCUACCUCUUUUUCAUCCUUGUCGUUUGUAGAGUUGAAAUACACUUAUAAAAAUAUAUAUUUGUAUCUCUGAAUUUUUUUAGUCAUCAAGUAAAUUUAUUUGUAUAUUUGUGUGAGUGCGUUUGUAUUUUUAUAUCUAUUUUAUUACAUUUCCUUCAAUCUUCAAUCA